AAAACUGAAAACUACACCUUCCAAGAUGCACCACUGUCAAGCCCCUAUGUCCUGCAGCCACGUCUACCGCAGUGAAACUUAACUUUAAAACGAUAUUAUUGACCUAUUUUAUGUAUGUAUCUUAAAAUACAACCACAAUGGGAUGCAUCUGUUAUUUUUAAAAGUUUAGUCAAAGUUCUAAAAUCGGGUUUUGAAUUAUAGGACAAAAUUAACAUUAUUACAUAAAUCAGGAAAAAAAAACUGUUUAAAUCAGAUUAUGUUGUGCCAACUGGUGUAGGAAUCAAUCGUCCAACCGGAAGAAAAUAACGAACGCUUGUUCUUGCUGUGAUAUCAGUUUUUCCUGAAGGAGGUGAGCCGGUGAAGCUUCUGUGGUUGCCAAGUGACGGAGAGCCAAGCAUGCGUGCCACUCCAGCAGUCCCCUGAUGAAGUCGAGGCUUCGUAAAGCCUGUGUCUGUCACAAGCAGUAAUGAUUUUGUUCUGAAACAAAUCAAAAAGCAACGUAUAAGACAUGCAGAUAUCUUUCAGAACUUGAGCAGUAUUUUUUAUUUAAAUACAUCCAGAAAACUGCUUUCUGCAGAUUGCUGUUUAAAUACAAAUGCAUGGUUUCGUAGACUGUUGACUGACGCCAAAUAGGCUUAAAAAGAAAUCCGUUUGCAAAGCAGUCUACUCAACAAUUGGAGGACUGACGGACAAUCUCGCCAUUAGAAAGAAAUGUUCUUGGGAUUGCCUUUAAAUUCUCAACCCUCUACAAUGUUUCAUUAAUUCGAAUCCUGUAAACUGGAAAUGUAUUUGGUCUGGCAUAAACAGCAAUUGCACAACAAUAAAAGAGGACAGGACUGCUUCGGAGCCCAUCAGGACUGCCUGAUUUCAGGUUAAAGCUUCCCGCAGACAAGUUAGUUUUUUUGUAUUUCUAAAAAAGACAUUCCCAGGUUGUUGAAUAUGAAAAUGGAAAUGUGUUGGGGUUCAAACAAUGCUUUAGAUCCCCUCCUGUGGGGAAGAUCUUCAACUUUAAUGUGCUGGUCAUGGCACUAAGAAACCCAUAAUGAUAAAAGACAUUCUUACAAAAUCCCUUUUAACUAUUUCUAGAGUUUUUUUUAUUGUAUUUAUGUAAAAUAAUAGAUACAGUAAAAUCUCUUUCAUCUAAACUGCUCAGUAGACAUGAAAAUAGUUUGGGGAUUUGGAUAAAGAGGACUUCACAUAGAAACUAUAGUGCUGCAACAUUGUUUUUUCUAUAAACUAAUAAUCAGCUGUAUUGAGUGAAAAUCACUAAAAUCACUUACAGUUUUACCCAAGUUUUGUUUCUCCUAAAAUAAAAUAAAUAAAUAAAAAAGAUUAAAUGGAAACAAAUUUUAAAAUAUUGGAAACUCGAAAACUUUGUAGACUGCUGAGUCUUUUUCUAUUCUGCUAUGUAAAUCAGCUUUUAGGCCUACUUAUGUCACAAGUGACCAAAAUUGGUGUAUGGGGGAAACACGUUUUUUUUUUUUUUUUUUUUUUUUAAAUUUUGUCACUUAUUAUUUGUUUCACUGUUAUAAUUGUGUUUUGAUUGAUUUUUGUUGUGAUUAUUUUUACCCCUUUUGAUUUAUGAGGGAGAAGCAGCCCACUGUUUGGAGUGGUGUUUUUUUCCACUUUGUUUGUAUUACAGCACAGGCACUUAAAUAGGUAAAUUGGCCACAAACUGGCAGACCAUACACAGCUGAAACUAUCUAGCCAUUAACAUCUUACCUACCCUAAAUAAACUGCUACUUCGAUGCACUGGGUGCGCAGGAAGAGGGGAAACCACCAGAAGGAGCGGGGGUGAUCCAGCAACUACAGGGAAGGAUUGUGGAACCAGUCAAAAGCAGACGGGAGAUUAAAAGAAGGACCUGUGAUUGUGAAUGGAGAAAUGGAUAAUUACAUGAUAUAUGGGAAGUACUCGUUUCUUUGAUUUUUCAUGUUUUCAUGUUACAAACAGUUUGCGGAAGAACUAGUGUUUAACUUAUAAGCAUAUUAUAGUGACCCGGCCAACUGAAGGGCUGUUGGACUUUUUUGAUGGUCCUGUUCAGACAACGCAACCUAGUUAGGGGGAAUGUGCGUGCGUGUGUGCAUGCAAGGGAGAGCUGCAAUUGGCCGGUCUGGAAGGACGCAGGAGAAGCAGGGCAGUAUAAAUACCUGGGACGCGGGGAACGCAGGGGGAGAGAGUGCGAGAUAGUGUGAGAGACGGGUGAUAAAAUUGACUGACAGAGGAACGGUGUGAGAAGCUGACAUGCCUUACCUGUGGUGCGAUUGAUGGGUGUGAGAGAGAGGUUAGGAGCGUGUGUUAUGGUCGGAGAGUGUGUAAGGAAUGAGGAAAACUACAGUUAGCUAGCUACAGGGGAUUUGUUGUUUUGGUGGUGUGGUCCUGGCCCAGAUACGUACUGUGAGAGAUAUUGAGUUUUUCUGAAGAAUAAACUGCUGUCAUUUAGCCCUGAAAAUCUUGUUUCCAGUGUCAUCCAUCCUGCAGGAAGCUCGGGUUGUCACAAUAUGUUGUGCUGAACGUAAAACAGUGCUAUGCCAGUUACACUUGAACAAAUAGCUUAUGAUGAAGUGUAAUCUACAUGAUUAAAUGAAGUACCUUUCAGGAGGGCUACGGAGAUUGGAAAUGAAUAGCGUAUAGAAUAACAGAAGGCGGAGUUAAACACAGUGAAAUUCCUUCUGUAUACUUUUGUUGAUGUGCUGGGACUGCAUGUACAGGAUUGUAUAUUUAAACCUGAUUCUUUUGCCGUUUUGGGUGAUUGUUUCCACAGGUACCCGGGCCGAGGAUUUUGUGGGGUAUCCAAAAAGACUUCGAGACGAUCGUGUAACGGGACCAAUCUAAUCCACUGUACACCAGCCCCUCGGUUCUGACGGGUGCCUGUUCGGAGAAGCGAGCGAGAGAGGCGUGUAAAAUUAAAAAAAGAAUAAGUACGAUCAGUGAAGGCUACUGCCCAGCCUGAUCACAGUAUUUUGUGUUUUGUUAUUUUGUUUUAUUUAAAACCUUAAUUUUGCUUUGUGAGCAAGUGUUUUUGUUUGAAUAUUUUAUUUAUUUUUGUUGUUUAAAAAUAAAAUGGCGCAAGCGCCAUUGCACCAUA